rnacentral:sRNA from 12 species
AGAUGUGCUCGUAGAGUAACGAGCAGGGUAAACAAAAGAAAAUAGCUCAUUAAGA